rnacentral:lncRNA from 1 species
AAAAAAAACAUAUAUAAAGUUAUUAUCAAAUGCACCAAGUUGAUUAUAGCAAAAUUGACCAUGUCAUUAUAAUGAGCACUUAAAGCAUUAAUUUUAUUAUAAAUACAGUUUUUCUCUGUAAGAAUCUCCAUUUACUGUUUCUUGAUUAAUCAAAUCUCAUUGUAAUUAAUAUAAAUUGAUAUACUGUUCCAACAGACCAACACCACAGACACAUUGCAACUACAUGUAAAUUUCUGUUCACAUGAUUAUUCUAAAAUGUUUAUAC